UGUAGGCUUAGCAAACAUCUGUUUCAUGUUUACUUAAUAUGGAAACUCUUCUAGCUAGCAGCCAGUACGUUUGGAUUUGCUUGCAGUCAAUCCAUGCUUUGAAAUCCAUAUCAGAUGAGAUUAGACAUUGACCAUCAGAUUAGAAGUUUCAUUCUGUAAGGUUUUUGGAGCAUCUUUCAUCUAUGGCAGAGCUUAUCAAAUAAAAGUUUGUGUCUCACAACUGCUGGCCCCACUUGUAGCUGGAGGCCUGGCUGGUGAGACACCCCACAUGAUCAGUGCUGCAGUCAAAGGACUAGCUCGCUUAGCUUAUGAAUUCUCUGAUCUCGUAUCUGCAGCUUGCAACAUGCUUCCAUCUACAUUUCUCCUCCUGCAGAGAAAGAAUAGAGAAAUAGUCAGUCUGUCCUCCCUCUUUCUCAGCAUAUUGUGUGAAUUGUCGGAAUUUUUAGAUCUAAAAUGACUGCCCCAAAAUCAUAAUUGUUUCUAUCUGUCCUUUUCAUAUAAGCUUCUCUGAUGCCUGCUUAAUGCAGGCUAAUUUAGGUUUGCUGAAAGUGUUGGUGGCCAAAUCACAAACUGAGGUGUUAUAGACACACUUGAAGAGUAUGGUUGAAGGGUUGCUGAAGUGGCAAGAUGAUACCAAGAACCAUU